rnacentral:rRNA from 1 species
GAUGAACGCUGACAGAAUGCUUAACACAUGCAAGUCUACCAAGAAUUACUUCGGUGAGGAAUGGUGGCGGACGGGUGAGUAACGCGUAAAUAAUCUGCCCUUUAGACUGGGAUAUCCUUUGGAAACGAAGGUUAAUACCGGAUAUCAUGAGAUGGACGCAUGUUCAACUUAUGAAAGCUAAAUGCACUAGAGGAGGAGUUUGCGUCCCAUUAGCUAGUUGGUGAGGUAAAGGCUCACCAAGGCCACGAUGGGUAGCCGGCCUGAGAGGGUGAACGGCCACAAGGGAACUGAGACACGGUCCUUACUCCUACGGGAGGCAGCAGUGGGGAAUAUUGGACAAUGGACCAAAAGUCUGAUCCAGCAAUUCUGUGUGCACGAUGAAGGUCUUCGGAUUGUAAAGUGCUUUCAGUAGGGAAGAAAAAAUGACGGUACCUACAGAAGAAGCGACGGCUAAAUAUGUGCCAGCAGCCGCAGUAA